rnacentral:rRNA from 2 species
CCUACCUCGUAUAAUGCAGUCGAACGAGUUCUGAAUAUUGAAAGGUGCUUGCAUCUUGAUUUAAUUUUGAACGAGUGGCGGACGGGUGAGUAACACGUGGGUAACCUGCCCUUAAGUGGGGGAUAACAUUUGGAAACAGAUGCUAAUACCGCAUAAAUCCAAGAACCGCAUGGUUCUUGGCUGAAAGAUGGCGUAAGCUAUCGCUUUUGGAUGGACCCGCGGCGUAUUAGCUAGUUGGUGAGGUAACGGCUCACCAAGGCAAUGAUACGUAGCCGAACUGAGAGGUUGAUCGGCCACAUUGGGACUGAGACACGGCCCAAACUCCUACGGGAGGCAGCAGUAGGGAAUCUUCCACAAUGGACGCAAGUCUGAUGGAGCAACGCCGCGUGAGUGAAGAAGGCUUUCGGGUCGUAAAACUCUGUUGUUGGAGAAGAAUGGUCGGCAGAGUAACUGUUGUCGGCGUGACGGUAUCCAACCAGAAAGCCACGGCUAACUACGUGCCAGCAGCCGCGGUAAUACGUAGGUGGCAAGCGUUAUCCGGAUUUAUUGGGCGUAAAGCGAGCGCAGGCGGUUUUUUAAGUCUGAUGUGAAAGCCCUCGGCUUAACCGAGGAAGUGCAUCGGAAACUGGGAAACUUGAGUGCAGAAGAGGACAGUGGAACUCCAUGUGUAGCGGUGAAAUGCGUAGAUAUAUGGAAGAACACCAGUGGCGAAGGCGGCUGUCUGGUCUGUAACUGACGCUGAGGCUCGAAAGCAUGGGUAGCGAACAGGAUUAGAUACCCUGGUAGUCCAUGCCGUAAACGAUGAAUGCUAGGUGUUGGAGGGUUUCCGCCCUUCAGUGCCGCAGCUAACGCAUUAAGCAUUCCGCCUGGGGAGUACGACCGCAAGGUUGAAACUCAAAGGAAUUGACGGUGGGCCCGCACAAGCGGUGGAGCAUGUGGUUUAAUUCGAAGCAACGCGAAGAACCUUACCAGGUCUUGACAUCUUUUGAUCACCUGAGAGAUCAGGUUUCCCCUUCGGGGGCAAAAUGACAGGUGGUGCAUGGUUGUCGUCAGCUCGUGUCGUGAGAUGUUGGGUUAAGUCCCGCAACGAGCGCAACCCUUAUGACUAGUUGCCAGCAUUUAGUUGGGCACUCUAGUAAGACUGCCGGUGACAAACCGGAGGAAGGUGGGGAUGACGUCAAAUCAUCAUGCCCCUUAUGACCUGGGCUACACACGUGCUACAAUGGAUGGUACAACGAGUUGCGAGACCGCGAGGUCAAGCUAAUCUCUUAAAGCCAUUCUCAGUUCGGACUGUAGGCUGCAACUCGCCUACACGAAGUCGGAAUCGCUAGUAAUCGCGGAUCAGCACGCCGCGGUGAAUACGUUCCCGGGCCUUGUACACACCGCCCGUCACACCAUGAGAGUUUGUAACACCCGAAGCCGGUGGUCAGUAGACCCAUCUAUGGGCUGCAGAGACCAGUCUACAG